AGGGGGAGUCGGGCUACAUGUAAACCAAGUCCUUUACAAAUUCUGCCUCUGUCUUCUCGAGGAGCUUAAGAGUUGAAGGGCGCCGAAGAGAAGACAACAGCGGGAACGAAAUAACUUUUGCUUCGGCAACAGGAAGAUAACUGAUGCGCUUUUCUUCCGGGGUUUGGCUUUCGCUCUGACAUCACGCAGGCUACCAUCUACCUGAAAGGAGGGACAUCUUACUCCUCCUAACCGCCAUGCCAGUGUCCUUCAGCGAGAGCAGGAGAGAAGAGGACUAGCCAACCGGGCGUCAAAAGCCCCGACACAAUGAUGCCUCUUGUAUUGGGUUUCUGGCUCGAUGACCACACCUGGGAAAGGCUGGAGGGCCCGCGGCACCGGUUUAUAAUGCUGAUGAUUAACUAAAUAGAGUCUGGGAAAGCAGGUCUGCUCGGCUUUCUCAUUUCAUGGGGCCUGACUGACCGUGAGGAAGACGGGAGUGUUCUCAAGCGGCGGGGUGGAAAUUCAAGACCUUUCUUUGCUUUUUUUCUCAGCCCCUGCCUUCCAAAAACCUUCUUUGGUUUGGUGGCAUUCUUUGCUUGGGGUACCUUUCAAGACGGUAAGAUUACAGGUGCAUUCUCCAUUUGGCAUCCCCCUGACCUUUUCUCCCUCUUUCUCCCUUCCCCCUUUCAACACUAGGCUCAAUUUUUGUCUUGCUUGCGGGGUGACAGAAAACCUUUCACCAUAUCCAUAACACACCUUUUCUGUAAUCAAUGACGCCACUAUGGAAAUAGUGCAACGAAACUUUCUUCAGUAAGGUGUUUUUUCUGUUUUAUUGAAAGAAACAUUCAAUUUUUGUGUCAUUUAACAAGUUUUAUGUUUGAUUCAGAAAGUAUCUAUGUCUUCAGUACGAAGGCGAGCUUUUUGCACGACGCACCUGUGAAGUAGCCACGUUGUUCAGUAAAAGAGCGCCGUUUCGGUCACCUCCCGCAUACGGGCUGGCCGCUCAGUUCGAGCUGAGCAACAUUCCAUCAGCCUUUCAUCACUCCACUAACACAAAGACAACAGCAUCAGAGGUCCACCGAUGAGUGGGGGGGGGAGCAACCCCUCAUAUUUUAGGCCACCAUUUAAUGCCAGUUAACUGCAGCUGAAAGUUGUGGUCGGAAAAAAAUCCAAUUCACCCGAGAGGGUGAUUGAGCAACAACGCCGACUUGACUUACUUUUAACUCGGCUGUAUUUUGUGCGAAAUUAGUAACUGGCGCGUAUCGUGUGAAAAAGCAGCCCUUCCUCCCGUCGUUGCCGUGCCAUAGCUUUAGACUAGUCAGAACAGGUUUGGGCAAUCAUUAACAACUUUUGUGGCCCAGUGUUCUGUGACAGCCCGUGUGGGCUGGAGAGCACAACGCCAGCCUUCUUAAGCACGCCAAGUGGAUGUCCUGCUUGUAGAUCGCGGCUACAAAAUGUUUGCUCAGCAAGUGCAUGCAUUUGGCUGACUAGGUUUGCGUCUCCGAGUCACGUACGUUGUUGCGCCUCCGGGCUGCACUCGCAAACUUACAUUCAAUCGUCACUUUAGUAGCAGAAAAGUGACAAAUGUAUUAAUCGAUGAAACUGUAAAUAUGUAUCAUUUCAAAGUCAUCUCACAUUACCUUUCAAAGGCUGAUUUUAUUUUGAAAAAAAAUCAACCCAAAUUGCAUGUGCUACAGACUCUUUUCUCCUGCUAACAACCCAGGCUAAACUUAGCCCCACCCUGAUGUGCAAAGCUGAGUCAAGAUACGUCACUUCAACUUAUAGUUCCUUGGCACCAUCUUGUGGCACAAAAAGCACUUUAUGAGUAGCGAAGCUUAUAUUGAAUUAAGUCUCGUAUGUUUGAUGUCACACGUCCGUCCGUCUAUCCCCGCUAGGUCUUCACGGGUGAUCAUCUCCAUCUUACAAGGCAGCAUUGGACUACAUCUUCUUUUCUAAUACUGCCUGGUAAUGAUGAUGAUAGUCAUCUGCUUACAACAAGCGCACAAAUCAUUGUUAGCAGCCGCAGACUAGUGUUACACAGGCCGGAGAAGGAGGCUCUCAGGAUCCAUCUUACCGGGCAGUGCUGGAUUGUACUACUGUUGUUCUAACACUGUCUGGUAACGAUGUUUUCUGGAGACCGCAAAGCUGCAGUCGGUCGCAUUUGGUUGCCUCAACAAAGCUUCCCUUGAUACCUCCUAAUGACGUUUGGCUAAUGUCUGAUUAAGCUAAAGCAUGGCACAGGGGUGAAUUUAAGCAAGAAGACGCAAGAAAGAGAUGGAAUGUACUUGUCCGCCGUAUUUUGCAUGUCAGGCCACAGACGCGUGUGGCGAGUAUGCCAGUAGCAAAAAUGCAGUUAAUGAGCACGUCUGAUAAGCACAAUCGCAACGACAGCAGCAUGUUACUUAAAAUAGGUCGAGUGCGUGUGUUCUAUUACAGCUUCAGUGUUUUACUUCUUCAAUUCAAUUUGCCUACCUGACUUUUUUUUCUCUCGUCUUCAAUGUCAAUCCCACCCCACCUGCAUAAAAGACUAGCAGUACGUUGAUUGUUCCACCGGUCGUGCAAGGCCAGCCCGUUUCUUUCUUUUUUUUUUUCUUUUUUUUGCCGGUUGCUUAUCAUGAACAGCGCCUGCCUUUGUACUUCGUGGCAGCCAUUGGCCCAUCUGGCCUGGCUCGCGCGGUGCAUCAUGAAACUGAGCUGACCUGAGCCUCUUGUUAUUUUAGCUAUCCAACAUAUGAAGAUCUGAUUUAAUACAAACGUGUAAACUGGGAAUUGAACAUCUCUAAACAAAAGAGCGAACAGAAACCUUAUGUGUUUAAGGAGGGAGAAUUACAGCCGCACCUUUAUGUACCCACUCAGCUCCAUUACCCAAGCCAAAAGAACAGCCCCCCCUGCUCGUUGUCUUCGAGCUGAUGUCGCUUGGUGCUGGCGUAUGAAAGCGCAAGAGAAAGAGGAACUUUUUCAGGCCGUUUCUUCUGCGCUGCUGUUUCCUCAGAGGUCACCCUGCCAGCCUGUUGAUAGGCGUCUUACCAGACAUGGUUAGAUGUAAUUAUUGGUGUCUAAUACUGUCUGGUAAUGCCGUCCAUUAAAUGGCAUUGCCUUCCGCUGUCUUCCUUCUGCUCUCUCGCUCUCAUGCGUCUUCACGUGCGCGCCUUUGCAUACUUGACUGUGGAACUGCGAUCCUUGCACUUGAAGGGGGAUGAAUGUCACGACUUGGAUUCUUCCAUGUGACUUGAGUCAAAGUUUAACUGUGCUCAACUCUGAAUGUUCUUUUAAGACGGGAUAUUUUUGUGACGAGCAUAAGGAUGAAUUUUGUCCGUACAAAGAUGUGUCCUCUACCCCUCCGUACUGUAACAAAAUACCUUCCAGGAACUUGGCUUCUCUCCAGGUACAGUAGAUAAAAGCACUGUGUGUGGCGAUAUUUUAUCCGUGGGCAAAACAUGUAAUGUGAAAGAAUAUAUUGAAUAAAUACAAUAAGAAUUCA